AGAAGCCAGUGGAGAAACGCCUGGCUUCGUCCCGACCUCUGCGCUAAACAAGAGGAAGUGGUCGCCCUCGCGCAAGUUUUCCAGAAUUUCAGCGGAAGCCGACUUGGAGCACCAGAAAUUCUACUUAAGCUGGAGCAAUCCGUCAUCUACUGCUGUCAAGGUCCCACGUAGAGAGAAAAGUCCUCGUGGAGGCGAACCAGUGCCUCAGUUUCCUCCUUCAGAGAAUGAAGAAAACACUUCCCCUUCUCGUCAAGCGCUGUGAGGCUCAAUGGUUGCUAGGAAUCCACUUGGAAAUCUGUACACAAAAGGUGCUGCCGUGGAUGUGAGAUGAGACAGUGCUGGUAAAGCCAACGCAUAAAGCGGACACCAAGCAGAGAAGCCGGCUAACAGCCUCUUCCUGGCAGGAACAGAAGAGAAUGUAUCUAUAUUUCCAACGUCGGUUUUCCC
rnacentral:lncRNA from 1 species